GACGAACCGUGCGAACGUUGUUCGGAAUCACUGGGCUUAAAGGGCGCGUAGGCGGACCAUCAAGUCAGGAGUGAAAUCCCCCGGCUCAACCGGGGAAGUGCUUUUGAUACUGGUGGUCUCGAGUGGGGUAGGGGCGUGCGGAACUUCCGGUGGGGCGGUGAAAUGCGUAGAGAUCGGAAGGAACGCCGGUGGCGAAAGCGGCACGCUGGACCCUUUCUGACGCUGAGGCGCGAAAGCCAGGGGAGCAAACGGG
rnacentral:rRNA from 1 species